GUAGGUGAACCUGCGGAGGGAUCAUUAACAUCAACACGUAUGGGUGACAGUCUCUCGGAUUGUCACUCCAUCCAACACCACUGCGAAUCGAUUCACAAUCUCCCGUGUGUGCCUGAGUCUGUGUGUGUGUUUGUGUGUCAGCGGCUUGUUUGCUGUACACAUACACAUUCACACUCACACACACACAUAUAUAUACACAUUUUUACUCCUCCUUUCAUACACCUAUACACAAUCUGAUGUCACCACAUACACAUCUGUGUGUGUGCCUGACACUCAUCUAAUCAAUUUAUACCACUCCUAGCAAUGGAUAUCUUGGUUCUC
rnacentral:misc_RNA from 1 species